rnacentral:rRNA from 1 species
CGCUAUCACUCCUACGGGAGCAGCAGUGGGAAUAUUGGACAAUGGCGAAAGCCUGAUCCAGCCAUGCCGCGUGUGUGAAGAAGGUCUUCGGAUUGUAAAGCACUUUAAGUUGGAGGAAGGGCAUUAACCUAAUACGUUAGUGUUUGACGUUACCGACAGAAUAAGCACCGGCUAACUCUGUGCCAGCAGCCGCGGUAAUACAGAGGUGCAAGCGUUAAUCGGAAUUACUGGGCGUAAAGCGCGCGUAGGUGGUUUGUUAAGUUGGAUGUGAAAUCCCGGCUCAACCUGGGAACUGCAUUACAAAACUGACUGACUAGAGUAUGGUAGAGGGUGGUGGUAAUUUCCUGUGUAGCGGUAGAAAUGCGUAGAUAUAGGAAGGAACACCAGUGGCGAAGGCGACCACCUGGACUAAUACUGACACUGAGGUGACGAAAGCGUGGGGAGCAAACAGGAUUAGAUACCCUGGUAG